UACAGAGGUCCCAAGCGUUGUUCGGAUUCACUGGGCUUAAAGGGUGCGUAGGCGGCUUCGUAAGUGCUUUGUGAAAGCCCCAGGCUCAACUUGGGAACUGCAUCCGAUACUGGAUGGCUUGAAUUCGGGAGAGGGAUGCAGAAUUCCAGGUGUAGCGGUGAAAUGCGUAGAUAUCUGGAGGAAUACCGGUGGCGAAGGCGGCAUCCUGGACCGACAUUGACGCUGAGGAGCGAAAGCUAGGGGAGCAAACGGG
rnacentral:rRNA from 1 species